UAAUAGACUCACAGUUCUUCACAGGGCAGCAGGAGAGAGAAUGAGUGUUAGCAGGAGAAAUGCUGGGCACUUAUAAAGCCAUCAGAUCUCACGAGACUCACUCACUAUCAUGAGAACAGCAUGGGGGAAACCGCCCCCAUUAUCCAAUUACCUCCAUCUAUCUAGUCCUAACUUUAACACGUAGGGAUUAUGGGGAUCGUAAUUCAAGAUGAGGUUUUGGGUGGGGACACAGCCAAAUCAUAUCAACGAUGUUAUCCUGUCAGAACUCAAGAGAAGGGUGAGGGCUGGGGGAGGGCCGGGGGAUGAGCCCAUCUGAAGUGGCCAGUGGAAGCAGUUGGCCUUCUGGAGAAGGAGGCAGGAAAGGCUGGGAGGUAGGUGGCCUUGGAGGCCCAGAGGGUAGGGGGAGAACAUGGGGGUGGAGUGACAGCUGGACAUCCCGAGGUAGAGACUGGAAAAGGAGGCCUAGGGAGUUCCAGAUGUACCCACCUUUCUCUUUGUAACUUAAUGCUGGUUGCAUGACCUGUAGGUAACGUUGCAGGGGACUUGGGGUACAGUAUGAGCUCUGUGGUUCCCUGCUUUGAGAAAAGGAAUCCUCUUUACAAACUUUCUAUGUGAUUGUGGUGGGGGUAAUAAUAAAGAGAGCCCCCCACUGCCCACCACAAGGGCAGUCAGAGGACCCACAUUGGCCAGAGUGUGUCACACAUUGGAUGUGCUUAUUAGGUUGGGAUCAGCACGUGGACAGCAGGGCCAACUAGGGUCCAUUGUUAGGAAACUGAGUGCUGGGAGAGCAGUUGUCUCUCCUUCGGCAUGUGCUCUAAGGAGUCUGAGCUUGGACCUGCUGAGCACCAUAGCUGUCUCCUGGGGAGACUGUGUCUGAAGCUGGAGCCCAACAGAGCCCUGCAGAGGCCAGAGACGGGGAGGGAAAGUUCAGGACCUUGCUUGGACUCCUGGAUCCAACCUCACUUCAAAGUCAUGGUCACGGAUUUCCCAGUUAGAGAGCUCACCUUGAGAGGUGGGGUCUCUGUCCCAUCCCCUGGAAUCUAGGUGAGCUCUAUGACUUCUCUGACCCAUAGAGUGAGGCAUAUGGUGCUGUGCCCGCUUCUAAGCUCAGGGCUAAGAGGCUGUCAGCUUCCACUUCCUGCCUUUCUGAUCCAGAUGCCAUGCUGUGAGAAGGCCCAAGCCACAUGGAGGAGCUGUGCCUAGGCCUGCAGACCACAGCCCUCACUCGGUUCCCAGCUGCCAGCUAUGUGAGGAAGCCACUUGGGAUGUCCAGCCCUGUCGGGCCUUUGGAUGACUCAGACGCCAUCUGACUAACCCAGGGAGAGACCCCACACAACAACUGCCUGGCUUAGCCAAGCCAACUCCUUCAACUGUGAAAGAUGGUGACAAAUUAUUGUUUUAAGCCACUAGGUUUUGAGGUUAUUAUGCAUUAUUUGAAAAUAAUUAAAAUUAUUUCAAAAACUGUUUAUUGUGACUGAUAUGGAUGCCUAAGGUCCUUGCAUAAAUGUGUCCUCACUUGAUUUAGAUGCCAAAAUAGGAAUCUGCACCUUGAAUCUCAUCAUGAGCUCCAUGAAGCUUUGGGUAGCCUCAAGAAUUCUAGAGUGCAGGGGCUUAAAUUCAAAUAACUCUGGCAGAACACUGAUGGCCUCCCUCCUCUGGCUGUAUCAUGCACAGCCUGCUUCAGCUAAGGGGACAGAAGGAGGGAGCCAGCAUUUCUCUGAGAACCAAUUAUAAACACCUUGGGGGAACUCUCAUGAUCAGUAAGAUGCUUUCUGAGCAUUGCUUUAUGCAUAUGCUAAGAAGCUGGGGCAAGAGUAGCUUUUUUUGUAAUAGUACAUUUUACGUAAAUUUUUACUGAAGUGAACAGACAUAUACAAAAAUAUACAAAUUAUAAUUAUAUGGUUCGAUUAAUCUUUGCCAAGGGAACCAUGUCACCCGCACUCAGAUUCAAUAAUUGAACAUUGUAAGCACCCAAGAAACUGACUUGCACCCUGUGUUGAUCAUGCCCCCCCAACAGUGAUAGUCACCUCAUUCUCCAGAGGCCUUAGGCAUUGCCUCAGGAUCAUGGUGGAAGCUUCUCUGGGUGGGGCUGCUUGGGGACCAGCCAUCCUGCAGUGGGCCCAUGAUAAGCACCUGUGGCGCCACACCCCUGGCUAGCAGGCCUGCUGGGAACACCUGUAGGAAGACCUUGGCAGGAUCAUUGGCCCUUGAGUCAGCUGCUUGCUCAACUUCAUGAUCAGAGAUAAAGGUGAAUGCAAGUACUGUGGCCAUGCCAUGCUUAGGACUCGAGAAUGGUGCAGCCUCUCUGUAGGCCAGGGAAGGACCACUAAUAUGGCUCCCAGCCAAGGGCCUCAGGGAUUCUGAAUGGCACAGUCUCUGCAGAACUUGCACUGUGUGGCUUCAGGUCUUCCAGGACAGCUAAAAUGUGUGGGCCUUGAGGGUGCCUUUGGGUGCUCAUAGCCUCAUUAGGGAGAUGAAGAGGUGAGCAGAUGUCACAUAUGUCAAGACAGUGGAAGCAUUAAGAAAGGGGAAAGGAUGGGGAGGAUAUCACCCCAAAGGUAUGGGAAAGGACCUGGUAUGUCUGGAAAGUGAAGAAGGCCAGUGUGGCUGGAACAAAAGGCACCUGGCCAGAGAGCUGGGAGAUGAGGGCAGACAAGGAGGAAGGGGCUUUCUAGGCAAGGCUGAAGCCUGGAUUUACCCAGAAGGCAAUGAAGAGCCACCAGACACUUUAGGGGGCCCAUGGUGUUGUAAAAUGAAGCAUUUGGGCUUUGUCCCAGGUUCCUGGAAGGGAGCUUGGCAUUUUCAGGGUGGCAGGAGUGUCUUUGCUAUUCAUCGUGGGUCCCUGGGGCCACACCGGAGUUUAUGCUGACCAGGUGCUUCAAGGUGGGACUCCAUAGCUUCAGGAUGCAGGCUGGCCAACCAUGGCAAGACCAGCCAUGUGAAUAAAGGGUCAGGACUUUGAGCCACAUGAUAUCAGCCUGACCUCUGGGGAGAGAGUGGGUAUUGGAAUUGAGUACAAAGGUGUAAGCAAUGAUUUCAUCAAUCAUGCCUAGGUAACAAACCCCAAUAAAAACUCUGGACAUUGUAGCUCAGUGCAGCCACCCUGGUUGGUAAUCAUAUAACCGUGUUCUGGGAGGCUUCACAUUUGGGAAUCUCCCCAAACCUCUCCCUGUGCAUCUUUUCAUUUAGCUUGUCCUGAUUUGUACCAAUCAAUAAAACUGGAAUUGUAAGUGCAGAGGUUGGUGAGUCAUUCUAAUGAAUUAUUUAUUCAACUUGAAGCCCUGAGUGGGAGCCUCUAUCUUGGUAGCCAGUGAUUGGAAGUGUGGGUGCACUGGGAAUGCAGCUGGCAUCCUGCAGGGCCCUAAGUCUGUGGCAUCUGUGCUAACAUCAGGUGGUUACUGUCAAGACUUUCUUCACUCAGUCAGGUCUGUGCUUCAGGUGCACUGCUCUGUGGAGUGGGGAGGGGGCCUGGAGUGCAUUUCUGCUCAUGGGGCUCAUGAUUUGAACUCAGGCCUAAUAUGUUAAUGAGCAGACACCUGGCCAAGCCCUGGGGGCCUCAAAAAACCAAGACAGGGGAAGCAUCAAGAAUGUGAUGAGAGAGUACGCGGCCAUGGGAGUGUCACCUUUGCCUUCUCUUCUCCCUGUGGCUGGAAAGGCUGGCCUGUCUGGCUGCCCAAGGAUAGAUGGGGAGAGGUUUAAUUGAAUCACCUACUGUGUUGGGUAAAGUAAACUGUCGUCAUUGCAAAUAUAAUCAGGACUGUAUUUUAACAGUAGAAAAUGUGAUUAUAAUGACAUAUUUAUCAGCUCCUUUCACCUGGGUGGAUCUGAGGACAUUUCAGAAAACAAGUGAUUGGAAUUGCUUGGCCUACCUCACACACUUACACACACACACUCUCACACACUCACAGAGACACACACUUAUAAGCACACACAGUCCUGUGCAUGCACACAAGUGUAUACACACCCACGCACAUUUCCACAUGCAUGUGUGUGCACACUCACAUACACAAACACACAGAGACACACCCUUACAGGGCAUCUGGUGCUCUGGCCUGCUCUGACACGCAGCCCCUCCUGGGAGUGGGCAGUAAGCAUUGGGGGGACAUGUAGGUAGUCCCUGGGGAAGCUGGAAGGCUGACCACCUGGCGAGCAGCAGGGCGCACUCACUGGAGCCCCUGCCUGGAUGAGCUGGCUUUGCUCAGCUCCAGCUGUGGUUCCCUCUGUAGACUGUGGGAUCAGAAAGCCCUCAUCACAUGAUGUAACUCUCACAAGGCUGCAAUCUACUUCCCUGUCCAGGUCCCAGAGGCUCCAGGCUCUUUGUGGAGUCACCUGCUUGGGCAGCCACGGUUCUGUGGAGCUGCUUGUCAGAGAGUGCGCAGGCUCUGGAGUCAGUCAGACCUGGGUUUGACUGCUGACUCCAUCUCUUACCUGCUGUGUGGCCAUGAGCAAAUGCCUAUUCUCACUGGGACUCAGUUUCCUCAUCUACAAAGUGAAACGUGUUCAUACUUCCCUUAUGGUCAGUGAGGAUGGAAUGGGAUAACAUUCUGCACCCCGCCUGGCACCACAGGCAUAUGAGGUAUUCGAUAAGUGAAUGAUUGUGCCAGACAAGAAAGCUGCCUGCCCUCCUCCUCCUCGGCCCUGUGCAGGGACUGGGGUGGAUGAGAAAGCCCGUGUUUCCUGAACACCUGUUUGCACCAGGCACCUAUUUGGCUGCUGCCUGGAUGUCCUUCUCAGGUUCCAGCUCAGGUCUCUUGGACCAGUCCCCUGGUCUGGGGUAGGGAUGCCUGGAACGGCUCUAGCGGCAAGGCCAUAUCUCGCCAGGCUGCCAGGAUGAGCUGAGCAUUGUGUCCACGGUGGGUGUCUGAAGGAAAUAAUGUAUACAGUGGUCCAUUUCCAAGACCAAGUGCCUUGAAUCGGCUUAGGUCAGCAAACUAUAGAAGCAACAGGACAUACUAGGCCCCUGCUUGGAUAGCUGCUGCCUGCUUGUCGGCCUCCCCCUUCUUCCCUCUUCCCCACCCCCUUAGUUGCCCUCACCCGAACCAAAGAAGUUUAGAUAAAAGUUUAUUAGUCUGCAAGAUAGCUUGAUUUGUCUCUUCUUGUCAGCCUGCCUAGCUACUUAGGUCAUAAGUCAAACACUUGAAGAGCCCCUGAGCUGACUAGGAUUGCAAUGCAUUGUGAGCUGCAACAAAAUGCAGCAAGACAACCCUAAAAAAAAACACCUAAAGCCCCUACCUAACAAUCAAUAGGCAACAUCCGGGAAAAUUGUGACCCCAUAGUACUCAGUCUAUGAGCAACUGGGGGAGGGACCCGUACUCUAGGGAUAAACUGCUUGUCGAAACUGCUGGGUGUGCUUGUCCAUCAGACACCCGAUCUUGCAAGUUCAUCAUUAAAAGUUUCACUUUCGCUGUUCUCUGGGUAUCUGAGUCCAUUCUUUGGGUUUGGACGGCCUUCGGAGGCAGGCACUGCCGCUAUCCCACCGAGGAGGAGUCUGACACUGUGGGCGGUGAAGGCCACAGUUACCCGGUGAGUAGCUGGGCUGGACUCCACCCUUGCUCCCUCCUACAAUCAACCUCCUGCUCCUCCCAACAACUUUCCUGAAAGGAGGCAGUGACCACUGUGCCCUUGCAGCCUCCCCGGCAACCGACUUCUGAAUCAUCCCACUGCAGAGAUCUCAUUACCGCAGUGAGUGUGGCUCCAGCCUCCCCUCCCUUGGCUGCUAAUGAGCGCCCUAAUUUGAUUGCCUCCAAAUGAGUGUGAUGCAAAAUUAAAAGAUGCCAGAAGACAUGACCAUAAA